AUACGGAGGGUGCAAGCGUUAAUCGGAAUUACUGGGCGUAAAGCGUACGUAGGCGGUCCGUUAAGUUAGAUGUGAAAGCCCCGGGCUUAACCUGGGAACUGCAUUUAAAACUGGCGGACUAGAGUUGAGUAGAGGGGAGUGGAAUUUCAGGUGUAGCGGUGAAAUGCGUAGAGAUCUGAAGGAGCACCAGUGGCGAAGGCGACUCCCUGGACUCGAACUGACGCUGAGGUACGAAAGCGUGGGUAGCAAACGGUAUUAGAAACCCCAGUAGUCC
rnacentral:rRNA from 1 species